CGGGAUUUGGCGGGGCCUUUGUCUCUCGCUGCAGCCGGAGCUCCAGGUCUCGUCUUCACUGCUCUGUGUCCUCUGCUCCUAGAGGUCCAUCUUCUGUGGCCCCGUUACCUGCAGGCCAGAAAAACUGGGAAAAACACAGGCUCUUCCACUUACUGGAUGUUUGACAAAAUAUUCUUCUUGGGCCAAAAACAUUGGCAUUACUGGGACCACUGACAUUUAGGGAUGUGGCCAUAGAAUUCUCUCUGGAGGAGUGGCAAUGCCUGGACACUGCACAGCAGAAUUUGUAUAGGAAUGUGAUGUUAGAGAACUACAGAAACCUGGUCUUCCUGGGUAUUGCUGUCUCUAAGCCAGACCUGAUCACUUGUCUGGAGCAAGGAAAAGAGCCCUGCAAUAUGAAGAGACAUGCGAUGGUAGCCAAACCCCCAGGUUGGAGUGCAGUGGCGUGAUCUUGGGUCACUGCAAACUCUGCCCCUCGGGAUUCAAGUGAUUCUACUGCCUCAGCCUCCCGAGUAGCUGGAAUUAUAGGCGAGUGCUGUCAUGCCUGGCUAAUUUUUGUAUUUUUAGUAGAGUCAGCGUUUCACCAUGUUGGGCAGGCUGGUCUUGAACUCCUGACCUCGUGUGAUCUGCCCUCCUCAGCCUCCCAAAGUGCUGGGAUUACAGGCAUGAGCCACAGUGCCCGGCCAAGUAUUUUUAUAUUUCAGAUCAUAUCUACUGAAUGACUUAGUGACAGAAAUUUGCAUUGCUUUUACCUAUUGGCUUUCAGUAGCAAUGGUAUAAUAAUUAUGGGUAUGAAAAUGACUCUUCAUAUGACCAUAUAUGUGAAAGUAUAUAUAUGUGCUGCAUUCUAUUUUACUAGUCUCCUUUUUUUUUUUUUUACCUUUGUACUUGUAGCAAAUUGUUUUAAUUCUGUAGCUUUGUAAUAUGUUUUAAACUCAGAAACUAUAAUGCUUCCAACAUUGUUCCUUUUUUUGAAGAUUGUUAGGUACUUUAUUGUCUCUUGAGAUUCCAUAUACUUUAGGGGUUGCUGUUUUUAUGUCUUCAAAAAUGCAAUGAGAAAUUGAGAAAACAUUGCAUUAAAUCUUGUAGAUUACAUUGAGCAAUAUAGACAUCCUCAUAAUAUUUCAGCUUUUGAACAAAAGCAUGCUAAAGAAUGUGGUUUAAUUUGCUAUAUAUUUGUAAACUUGUUAGCUUUUAAUAUUAUUGUUUUAUAUUGUCAUUCCGUUUUUGUUAUGGAAAGUAAUCCAUAAAAUUUCAGUUCUAAAAUACUUUUUAAGACUCUUUUGACUUAUUUGGUGGUCUAUCAAGAAGAAAGUUGUAUGAACUGUCAGUAAGGGUGUGUAUCUUAAUGUUGUUCAGUUUUGUAUACCUAUGUUAGGAAUAUUUGUUUUAUACUGCCUUCAGGUCCUCUGUUCUCUUACUAAAAUUCUGUCUUGUUUUAUUCUUACUAUAGAAAAUGGGAUAUUAAAAUAGUCUAUAAU
rnacentral:sRNA from 1 species